GUGGCGAGUGGCGGACGGGUGAGGAAUACGUCGGAAUCUGCCUUUCUGUGGGGGAUAACGUAGGGAAACUUACGCUAAUACCGCAUACGACCUUCGGGUGAAAGUGGGGGACCGCAAGGCCUCACGCAGAUAGAUGAGCCGACGUCGGAUUAGCUAGUUGGCGGGGUAAAGGCCCACCAAGGCGACGAUCCGUAGCUGGUCUGAGAGGAUGAUCAGCCACACUGGAACUGAGACACGGUCCAGACUCCUACGGGAGGCAGCAGUGGGGAAUAUUGGACAAUGGGCGCAAGCCUGAUCCAGCCAUGCCGCGUGGGUGAAGAAGGCCUUCGGGUUGUAAAGCCCUUUUGUUGGGAAAGAAAACUUUCCGAUUAAUACUCGGAGAGAAUGACGGUACCCAAAGAAUAAGCACCGGCUAACUUCGUGCCAGCAGCCGCGGUAAUACGAAGGGUGCAAGCGUUACUCGGAAUUACUGGGCGUAAAGCGUGCGUAGGUGGUUCGUUAAGUCUGAUGUGAAAGCCCUGGGCUCAACCUGGGAAUUGCAUUGGAUACUGGCGGGCUAGAGUACGGUAGAGGGUAGUGGAAUUCCUGGUGUAGCAGUGAAAUGCGUAGAGAUCAGGAGGAACAUCCGUGGCGAAGGCGAC
rnacentral:rRNA from 1 species